rnacentral:rRNA from 1 species
GAUGAACGCUGGCUACAGGCUUAACACAUGCAAGUCGAGGGGAAACGACGGGGAAGCUUGCUUCCCCGGGCGUCGACCGGCGCACGGGUGAGUAACGCGUAUCCAACCUGCCUCUGACUGAGGGAUAACCCGUCGAAAGUCGGCCUAAUACCUCAUGGCAUCGUCUGCGGGCAUCCAACGACGAUUAAAGAUUUCAUCGGUCAGGGAUGGGGAUGCGUCUGAUUAGCUUGUUGGCGGGGUAACGGCCCACCAAGGCUACGAUCAGUAGGGGUUCUGAGAGGAAGGUCCCCCACAUUGGAACUGAGACACGGUCCAAACUCCUACGGGAGGCAGCAGUGAGGAAUAUUGGUCAAUGGGCGGGAGCCUGAACCAGCCAAGUAGCGUGCAGGAUGACGGCCCUAUGGGUGGUAAACUGCUUUUAUGCGGGGAUAAAGUGGGGGACGUGUCCUUCAUUGCAGGUACCGCAUGAAUAAGGACCGGCUAAUUCCGUG